CUUCCGCAAACGUGGCCAUUUAUCAUUUAAGCCAUCUCCAAAGCACCCAUUAAAAGUACAUGUGUGGGGUGGUAUCUCCCGCAGAGGCCCAGGACCAAUUUUAAUUUUUGAAGGUAUCAUGGAUAAAACAUUCUUCCAGUCCAUGAUCAUUAAUGAUACUUUAGUGCCGUAUGUAAGAAAGUAUUGGUCAUCUGGACAUCGAAUGUUCCAGGACAAUGAUCCAAAACAUAGUGCUUCGGCCAAAUUCAUAGAGGAAAAAGGCAUCAUUUGGUAACGCACACCACCAGAAUCACAGGACAUGAAUCCUAUCGAGCUAGUGUGGUCUCAAAUGAAAAGUUAUAUUCGUUCUCAAUGUAAGCCAAGGACAAAAGAGCAACUGAUUGAUGGCAUCAAUACAUUUUGGAAAAACGUACUUACAUUGGAGACCUGUAAUAAUUAUGUAGACCAUUUAUUUUCUGUGCUGCCAGUGAUUAUAGAAAGAAAUGGACAAGCCAGCUGCAUGUAAUUGGAAUGGAUCAUAUUGUCGACAAAAAGAAGGUCAACAGUCAUUAGGUCGACCAAUAUUGGUCGACAGGCCAUAUGUCGACACAUCAAAAAAGACAGUACGCAAACGAAUAAUGCAUAGAAUUUGCAUAAAGGGCCCUUUACCUAUCGUACUCAUCCUUUCUGCAAAUGCUUGAAAUAUCAAAAUUAGACUACCUGCUUAAAUUAAUUAAUUUGUUAUAUUUUAUCUGUAACAUGUACUUCACCCUAGUAUUACAUUUGUUAUGCAAUCUUGAAAAUUGUUUAAAAAAAAAAAGUAGUCACCUCUGCAACACUGUAUUUUGUAAUUGUGUAUGGAUUGUACAAAGCAUCCAAGUGAUUGCAUUCAGUUUUGUCUAACUUACAGUAUAUUUAUACUAUUUAGUUGGAAUUAUUUUAUCAUUGCAAAGUCUUAUAAUAUGUUCCAUUACCUUGUAGCACUAUUAGGUUUUAAUUAACUUAUUCUUUAAUGUCACUUUAGACUUCAUUCACCUCUGUGCUCUGAGUAACAAAUAACCCCAAUUUUUGCAUUAAUAAACU